rnacentral:lncRNA from 1 species
AUCAAUCUAUCACUUUUUAGGCUUCAAACUAAUUGAUUGCUCAUGAACAAAGCACACUGCUAUUUAGCAUUAGCAAUGGGAGCACCAAAAUUUGAGCCUGAGAGAUUCUAACAUUCAGGCUUAAAUUCUUCAUGCUUAAAUACCAAUGUGGAUAUAUUUACCACAUUCACAUAGUUGUCAUUAGCAUCAAUGAAAGGUGAACAGCCACG